rnacentral:rRNA from 1 species
GACUGCAGAGAGACUAUCUGCUUGAUAGGCCGGAUGUGUAAGGAUGGCAACAUCUUCAGCAUACCGGUACUAACCGGUCGAGAGGCUUGACCCAC